AAAUUUACUCGACUGAAAGUACUCUGGAUCUAAAUAUCCAAACGUCCCUUUAACCAUGGUAGUUAAAUGGGUUCGAUCAGAAGCAAUGGACCUUGAAGUUCCAAAGUCGGACACUUUGACAAUAUAUUUCUCGUCGAGGAGGAGGUUACUUGACUUGAUGUCUCUGUGAUAAAUAGCUAUCGAAGACGCAGAGUGCAAAUAGGCCAAUGCGCCGGCUAUAUCUGCUGCGAUUUUCAGACGCAUGUUCCAUGGAAAUGGAAACUCAUUAUUUGAAUCAUGUAUGAGAUCAUGAAGGGUGCCGUUUGGCAUGAAUUCAUAAACAAGCAGUGGAACCUCCGUCUCCAAACAACAUCCUAACAAUCCUACGACAUUCCUAUGAUUGAUUUGAGACAAUAUGGCCACCUCAUUUAUGAACUGUUCCACUUGAUUCUCCUCAACCAACUUGGAUUUUUUCACUGCCACAAUUUUACCAUUGGAUAACAUUCCUUUGUAGACAGUGCCUUGCCCUCCAUGUCCAAGGAUUCGGUUUUCAUUAAAGUGAUCAGUGGCUAUCUCCAACUCUUUUGCAGUGAAAACUUUUGUUUUUCCAAGUGUGCCUUCAUUUGUUUGUUGGUGCAAGAGAAGGCCACCAUUUCGUUUGAAGAAUUUCUCUUUAAGCAAAUUUUCCCUUCUCUUUUUUAAUUCUUUAUACAACCAAAUGCACAUUGAGAGAAGUAGUAGAAAUCCUAAUCCUGAGCCCAUACCUGUAUAUAAAAUUACAAACCAUAAACAUAUAAACAUGCAAGUCAAGCUUAUUGAGUUAAAUUAAAAAGUCAAUGUUCAAUUUGAAAUUGACUUCAAAACAAUUUCAAUGGAAAUUUUGUAAAUUAAGGAGAAAUCAAUGUCAUCAUGUAUGCAAAAUUUAAAAUGAAUACACAAAAAUUAAAUUACUCCUACAUUAGCAUCUCAAUUAAUCGCCACUAAUCUUUAUUCUGAAAUAGCGUUNUCCGGAACUAUGAGUUGAAGCAGAAUCACUACAACAUGUUACUAUCUUACUAUGAGAUGCCUAAGGGAGAUGCUCUCAUAUUCAUCCGAGAUUUUUGCACGGUGGUGUAGACCUACCCAUUGCUCGAGUUAUUUGAAGACCAAUUCAAGUUGAGAUGUUUCUCGUACACCUUGAAGGAUAGGGCUGGAACUUGGUUCCUAUCACUACAGCCUAGCUCGUUGAACACAUGAGGUGACGUCUGUGAAAAGUUUGUGCUCAAUUACUACCCUAAUCAAAAGACGCAAGACGUGUUGACCCAAACCAUGAACUUCACUUAUGGGAUAGAUGAGUCGUUCCAUAAGGCCUGGGAAAGGUUUUUGGAGCUCCUUCAACAGUGGUCCCACCAUCAUAUGGCUUCCGAGAUGUUGAGCCAGUUAUUCUACGACGAGUUGUUGCAAACCUCCCAGUUUAUAGUGGACAACAUCUUAGGGCGAAACAUCAUAGUGAAGAGAGUCGAUGAGCUAAAUCAUAUUUUUGAGACUCUAGCUACGAGUUCUCAAUAGCAGUCCACUCGAGGAUGAAGAGCAGAGGCAAGUGUAGUAGCCCCUAGCUACGAGUUGAAGAAGUAGAUGAGUGACGUAAUAAGAGAGAUACAAGAGCUCAAGAUAAGCAAGUUCGACACCUUUACUAACCGAGAGCCCAUGGCUAAGAUGUGUGAUAUCUUCGGUGUGUAUAGUUAUGGGGCAAACGAGUGUCACCGAAUAAGAUAGCACACCUAUAAAGAGGGAGCAAAAGUAUACGUUACACAAUAGUUCGAGCCAAACCAACAGUAGCUCAAUUCAGGAUGGUGAAACGAGGCGAGUUUGGGUUGGAAGAAUCAGAAUCAAGGAAACCAGCCGAGAGUAAUAUGUUGUGGAGUGGUGUUUUAUAAAUGAAAAGAAACUAGUAUUUUUUAUUAAUGUACCAAGUUGACAAAAAUGACUAUUUUUCAAGAAUGAAGAGAGAAUCAAUUUAUUUCAAGUCGUACAACUCAUCUCGCACUAACUAUAUCUAACAUAUCCUCAUCCUGAAAGUAAAAUCGUAUAUCACAUUUAUCUUACCCUAUCUUGUAAAUCUUAAGCAUUGUGUGUCUGAUGACAAUAGCGUUACUAAUCUUAUAACUACCUACCAGGCCAUGUGUAUUUCAUUGUCUGAAAUGGUGGCAGCCAUGUCUUCAAAGACUCUCACAUCUUGAGAUUCAUCUCUAACUAUAGUAGACAUUUGAGACAUCCUAAAAUUCUCCAAUUCAGUAGCCACUUCUUUCUAUAGUUGGUCUCAUUUUUCCUUUGGGAUUCAAACAUCUCUGUGCAAGCUUCGCAACUAAAAUCACCUCUUCCUUUCUACCUUUCUGCAAAACUUGAGGAUCCAAAAUAGCGUCAAGACAAUUUCUUACCAUGCACGUAUGAAACCGAGUAGCUAGGCCUCUUUCUUCUUCUUCUUCUUCAUCAAAAGAAAUUGGCCUUUGCCCAGUAAGAAGCUCGACAAGAACCACUCCAAAACUAUAAACAUCACUCUUUUCUGUAAAUUUACGACUGAAAGUACUCUGGAUCUAAAUAUCCAAACGUCCCUUUAACCAUGGUAGUUAAAUGGGUUCGAUCAGAAGCAAUGGAUCUUGAAGUUCCAAAGUCGGACACUUUGACAAUAUAUUUCUCGUCGAGGAGGAGGUUACUUGACUUGAUGUCUCUGUGAUAAAUAGCUAUCGAAGACGCAGAGUGCAAA
rnacentral:lncRNA from 1 species